rnacentral:misc_RNA from 1 species
UAAAACUGUUGGGAGGAAAGGGCGUGAGGGAGACAAAAAGAAAAAUGAAGUCCAUUCCUCCAAGGAUAUGACUCCCUGUGCAAAUUCAUCAGCUGUGAGUAUAGGGGACGGUUUGACUUUGAGUAAUGAGCAUGAGGAAAAGAACACUAAGAGGCACAAGGCUAAUGGUUAUGAUUUUGAGCUAAGUGCUACUGAAACUGAGGAUGUUAGCCUAGGGGGUGACAUAGAUCUAAGUAAUCAUGAGAUAGAGAAGAAUAGGAAGAAGAAGAAAAGGAAGUCAGAGCAGAUUAAUGCUGAAUCUUAUGUAGUAUCUCAGACAGUCAGAAAGCGAAAUAAGGCAGGUGAUACUGGUGGGGAAGUUAGUGAAAGUAAAGAGGAUUUGAAGGAGGCCUGUACUGGAGUAGGGGAGAAGAUGAGCCUGCAAAAGGAUGGCAAAAUAGAUCUGGAGAGCAAUUAUGAGUCUGGAGUACUAAAAGAUAGGAAAAAUAAGCACAAGAAGAAAAAGAGCAAAGAUAAAAAUGAAAAUGGAAGUGAUCACUUGGAUGAAAUUAUCACGGAUUAUGUUGAGUCUCCAAGGAACGAGACGAAGAAAAAGCAGCAGCAGCAGCAUCAUAAUGUUGAUUUGGAGGCUAAGUCACCAAAAGUCAUGGCUGAGACACCUGGUAAUGAAAGUAAUGCAAUUGAGGAAAAUGGCGGUAACAUUGAUUCAGCUGAAGAUGAAAACCUAGAUGCUCAUGCUCUUUAUGCAGAGGAUGGAAGAAAAGAUGAAAAGAAGAGAAAAAAGCGGAAGAGGGAGAAGGAUGUUAGGGAUACUGGGGUAAUGAUUGAUGAAAGUGAUCGAAAAGAUGUUGGAAAUGAAAGUGAAUUGGAUGGAAAUAUCAUGAAAAAUGUUGAACCUUCAAGGAAGGAGAGUAAGAAAAAGAAAAAGCAUAAUGUUUAUUUGGAAGCUGCAUCUCGGGAAAGAAUGGAUGGGAAAUUAGGUAACCAAAACAAUCAAAUGGGAGAAAAUGAAGGUAAUGAAUAUUCAAUUGAAAAUAAGGCAGGAGGUGGAAAAAUAGAAGGUCAUAAUGUUAAGAAAGUCAAGAAGAAGAAGGUCAAGUCAGUUGAAAAUGGUUUAGAGGGAAAGGGUAGUGAAAGAGAACCGAGAAUCAGCAAAGGUGUUGAGGCUACUAAUCCAUCAGAAAGGUCUACACCAAAAGGGACAUCUAAGAGAGUAAGUUUUUCUGAACAGGUGGAGGUUUUCCCUUUAUCUGAUGGUCCAAGUGGGAAGACUGUUCAGAAAGAGAAAUUGGUGCAGGGGAAGCGAUUCUCACGUGAGGAAGAUGAGAUGGUUAAAGAAGCCGUUUUGAACUACAUUAGUGCUCAUGGAUUGGGUGAAGAAGGCCUGAAGAUGGUUCUCAACUGUAAAAAGUACCCUGAACUUAAAAAUUGUUGGAAGGAAAUAGGGGCAGCCUUACCUUGGAGGCCUUUUGUUAGUGUCUAUUAUCGUGCCCAUAUCUUGUUUGAAAGGGAUAAAAAACGUUCUUGGACUGCAGAAGAGUGUGAACUUGUGCUUAAGUUUCAUGAGAAAUAUGGAUCAGAUUGGAAAACUUUGGCUGAAGCACUUGGCAAACAUAGGAUUCAUGUGAAGGAUACAUGGCGUAGAAUAAAAGUUGCCAAUAGGAAAAGGGGACGAUGGUCCCAAGAGGAGUACCAGACUUUAUUUGAUUUAGUGAACAUGGAUUUGCGUAUGAAAGCUCGUGAGGAAACGAGAUCAUCCAAACAUGGUAUGUUGAGAGAUAAUAUCUGUUGGACAGCUAUCAGUGACAAGCUGGGGACCAGAACUACUCCUAUGUGCUGCAUGAAAUGGUAUCACCAGUUAACUUCACCUAUGGUAGCUGAAGGUAAAUGGCUUGAUGUAGAUGACUACCAACUUGUGAUUGCGCUCUAUGACUUGGACGCUUGCUGCAUGGAAGAUGUGGACUGGGAUAAUCUUCUGGAGCAUAGAUCUGGUGAUGUGUGCCGAAAGAGAUGGAACCAAAUGGUCAAACACCUUGGUGAGCACGGGAAUAAGUCAUUUGCUGAACAGGUUGAAGUUCUUGUGGAGCGUUACUGCCCAGAUGUGCUUGAAGCAAGAGAGGCCUAUAACAGCAAACCUGUAAUUCGUUGAGUUUAUGGUCCUAUCACAUGUUUGUGUUUUCUGGGCUCUUUUGCAAUCUUCUGAAGGCUAAAGCUGUUGCAAUCUACAUAUCUACCUGGAGUUUGGAACAGUGGGUUGUUAUGUACUGAUAUAAAGUUUUUAUGGCCCUAUCUUUUGUUCGGGACUGAUAUUAGACUGAUUAUAAGAAUUUCAUGUGGGGAAAUAAAAUUCAUUGCACAAGCUCAGAAAUCUUUUAGGAUUCGUUUCCUUAAUUAAUUGUUUUAAAUUAUUACCGAGGCCAAGAUGAAGAUAGUGCGAGAGGCAAGCACCCUAUAUUAUUGGGAUAAAACAGUUUGUAUAAUAUUAUUUGAUAUUUCUGAACUGUUUCUAUCUGGACACUUCCUUUAUUAUUAUUGGUAGAACUCUAUUUUUUGUUGUUAUUAUUGACUCUCCACUGCUGGAGUGUUCGGAAUCCAUCUAAAUCUCAUGGUAAAUAUAAGUGAUUGGG